CCUACGGGUGGCUGCAGUGGGGAAUAUUGCACAAUGGGCGCAAGCCUGAUGCAGCCAUGCCGCGUGUGUGAAGAAGGCCUUCGGGUUGUAAAGCACUUUCAGCGGGGAGGAAGGCGUUAAGGUUAAUAACCUUGGCGAUUGACGUUACCCGCAGAAGAAGCACCGGCUAACUCCGUGCCAGCAGCCGCGGUAAUACGGAGGGUGCAAGCGUUAAUCGGAAUUACUGGGCGUAAAGCGCACGCAGGCGGUCUGUCAAGUCGGAUGUGAAAUCCCCGGGCUCAACCUGGGAACUGCAUUCGAAACUGGCAGGCUAGAGUCUUGUAGAGGGGGGUAGAAUUCCAGGGGUAGCGGUGAAAUGCGUAGAGAUCUGGAGGAAUACCGGGGGCGAAGGCGGCCCCCUGGACAAAGACUGACGCUCAGGUGCGAAAGCGUGGGGAGCAAACAGGAUAGAUACCCCUGUAGUC
rnacentral:rRNA from 1 species